AUCGUCCUCCUUUGGUCAGAAGGGUUCCACACAACCUCGAGGAGCACCACACGCGACGCUCCAAAGAGGGUGGUAUCGUCUCCACACACCUUGGUCGAUGCAAGCAUCACCUUGGCCUCGCUCUCGAUAUCAUUGAAGUCCACCAUCAAGGCCUGGCGGGUUUUAAGAGAGACAUUUCCACUCAUAUACAUGAGCUCAUUGCGUUUAGUCCAGUUGAACUCUUUCCUCUGUUGUUCCAUGAUCAAGUCCAAUGGUUCAAGAAACUGGCUAAACACAAGCAUCGCUCCUUUAAAGCUUCACUACUAG
rnacentral:rRNA from 1 species